rnacentral:rRNA from 1 species
GCAUCGAUGAAGAACGCAGCGAAAUGCGAUAACUAAUGUGAAUUGCAGAAUUCAGUGAAUCAUCGAGUCUUUGAACGCACAUUGCGCCCUCUGGUAUUCCGGAGGGCAUGCCUGUCCGAGCGUCAUUGCUGCCCUCAAGCCCGGCUUGUGUGUUGGGCCCCGUCCCCCCCGCCGGGGGGACGGGCCCGAAAGGCAGCGGCGGCACCGCGUCCGGUCCUCGAGCGUAUGGGGCUUUGUCACCCGCUCGAUUUAGGGCCGGCCGGGCGCCAGCCGACGUCCAACCAUUUUUCUUCAGGUUGACCUCGGAUCAGGUAGGGAUACCCGCUGAACUUAAGCAUAUCAAUAAGCGGAGGA